UACGAAGGGGGCUAGCGUUGUUCGGAAUCACUGGGCGUAAAGGGCGCGUAGGCGGCUUUAUAAGUCGGGGGUGAAAGCCUGUGGCUCAACCACAGAAUUGCCUUCGAUACUGUAGAGCUUGAGACCGGAAGAGGUUAGUGGAACUGCGAGUGUAGAGGUGAAAUUCGUAGAUAUUCGCAAGAACACCGGUGGCGAAGGCGGCCUGCUGGGCAGUUGCUGACACUGAGGCGCGACAGCGGUGGGGAGCAAACAGG
rnacentral:rRNA from 1 species